rnacentral:rRNA from 1 species
AGAGUUUGAUCAUGGCUCAGGACGAACGCUGGCGGCGUGCUUAACACAUGCAAGUCGAACGGAAAGGCCCUUCGGGGUACUCGAGUGGCGAACGGGUGAGUAACACGUGGGUGAUCUGCCCUGCACUUUGGGAUAAGCCUGGGAAACUGGGUCUAAUACCGAAUAGGACCACGCGCUUCAUGGUGUGUGGUGGAAAGCUUUUGCGGUGUGGGAUGGGCCCGCGGCCUAUCAGCUUGUUGGUGGGGUAAUGGCCUACCAAGGCGACGACGGGUAGCCGGCCUGAGAGGGUGACCGGCCACACUGGGACUGAGGUACGGCCCAGACUCCUACGGGAGGCAGCAGUGGGGAAUAUUGCACAAUGGGCGCAAGCCUGAUGCAGCGACGCCGCGUGAGGGAUGACGGCCUUCGGGUUGUAAACCUCUUUCAAUAGGGACGAAGCGCAAGUGACGGUACCUAUAGAAGAAGCACCGGCCAACUACGUGCCAGCAGCCGCGGUAAUACGUAGGGUGCGAGCGUUGUCCGGAAUUACUGGGCGUAAAGAGCUCGUAGGUGGUUUGUCGCGUUGUUCGUGAAAACUCACAGCUUAACUGUGGGCGUGCGGGCGAUACGGGCAGACUAGAGUACUGCAGGGGAGACUGGAAUUCCUGGUGUAGCGGUGGAAUGCGCAGAUAUCAGGAGGAACACCGGUGGCGAAGGCGGGUCUCUGGGCAGUAACUGACGCUGAGGAGCGAAAGCGUGGGGAGCGAACAGGAUUAGAUACCCUGGUAGUCCAA